rnacentral:rRNA from 1 species
CCCUUAGAUGUUCUGGGCUGCACGCGCGCUACACUGAAGCUAUCAACACGUUUUCCCUCCCUGAGAAGGGCGGGUAACCUUUUGAAUCAGCUUCGUGGUAGGGAUCGGGGCUUGCAUUUGUUCCCCGUGAACCAGGAAUUCCUAGUAGACGCGAGUCAUAAGCUCGCAUCGAUUAAGUCCCUGCCCUUUGUACACACCGCCCGUCGCUACUACCGAUUGAACGUUUUAGUGAGGCAUUUGGACCGACGCAUCUCAGUUUAACCGCUGGUUUGUGUUGGAAAGACUUCCAAACUUGAGCGUUUAGAGGAAGUAAAAGUCGUAACA